CCUACGGGUGGCUGCAGUCGAGAAUCAUUCACAAUGGGGGAAACCCUGAUGGUGCGACGCCGCGUGGGGGAAUGAAGGUCUUCGGAUUGUAAACCCCUGUCAUGGGGGAGCAAAUUAAAAAGAUAGUACCACAAGAGGAAGAGACGGCUAACUCUGUACCAGCAACCGCGGUAAUACAGAGGUCUCAAGCGUUGUUCGGAAUCACUGGGCGUAAAGCGUGCGUAGGCUGUUUCGUAAGUCGUGUGUGAAAGGCGCGGGCUCAACCCGCGGACGGCACAUGAUACUGCGAGACUAGAGUAAGGGAGGGGGAACCGGAAUUCUCGGUGUAGCAGUGAAAUGCGUAGAUAUCGAGAGGAACACUCGUGGCGAAGGCGGGUUCCUGGACAUUAACUGACGCUGAGGCACGAAGGCCAGGGGAGCGAAAGGGAUUAGAUACCCGAGUAGUC
rnacentral:rRNA from 1 species